rnacentral:rRNA from 1 species
UACGUAGGGUGCAAGCGUUAAUCGGAAUUACUGGGCGUAAAGCGUGCGCAGGCGGUUCGCUAAGACAGAUGUGAAAUCCCCGGGCUUAACCUGGGAACUGCAUUUGUGACUGGCGGGCUAGAGUAUGGCAGAGGGGGGUAGAAUUCCACGUGUAGCAGUGAAAUGCGUAGAGAUGUGGAGGAAUACCAAUGGCGAAGGCAGCCCCCUGGGUUAACACUGACGCUCAUGCACGAAAGCGUGGGGAGCAAACAGGG